UCUCCCUUCUUCCGAAGAGCCCCUCUGCUAUUCCCAGGUACUCACACAACAUUGGGGUAUGAGAUGAAUUUAAUAAAUCCUGUGUUUUUUUUUAAUCUUAUUCAUUUUAAUGAUGAGGAAGUUGUGAUCCUCUUGGAAGUUAGUGGCAAAGUCAGCACUCAGAACUGAGUCUCUGGAUUCCCGGUGACAAGGUUGAACUUUACCUGAGCUCUGUACUUCCAGAAAAGAGCCGUGGUUAAGAAAUUCCCACCUCCCUUUUGUGUUUUGGGAAAUGAAUUACUGCAGAGAACCAUCCUUCCCAGAUGACUUAGGCAGGACUCUCUGUCCAUUCCUUCUCAUGACUCCCAGAAGACUUUGGAUGGCUCCCCUGUUUACUGGUGACAGGUUGAGUACAGACCUUGCGUCUUUACCUGCAUCUGCUGACAAGAGAUAUGGAGUCUACUGAAUCAUGAAUUGGGUAUUUAUUUACAAUUGUAUAAACCAUGGAGGAAGGAUAUUGGCUAUUUUCUUCACUGCUUUGCUGCAUAAAACAGAGCCAGGAAUACAAUAGGCUCUCAAUAAGUAUUUGCUGAAUAAGUGAUUGGGUAAAUGAAUAGAAUAGUUGUAUUAUCUCUACCGAAGCAUAUACCAUAU